rnacentral:rRNA from 1 species
UUCGUAGGCGGUGCGGCAAGUUGGGAGUGAAAUCUCUGGGCUUAACCCAGAGGCUGCUUUCAAAACUGCCGUGCUCGAGUGCGGGAGAGGCGAGUGGAAUUGCAGGUGUAGCGGUGAAAUGCGUAGAGAUCUGCAGGAACACCCGUGGCGAAGGCGGCUCGCUGGACCGCAACUGACGCUGAGGAACGAAAGCUAGGGGGAGCAAACA